GGGGCUGGGUAGGUGGCUUUGCUCUGCAGGGUCACCCAAGUGACCCGAGUUUCUUCCGUCUGGUUGCUGGGCCCUCCCCCGCACGGCAGUCCCGUGCACGUGACCGGCACUGGCUCGCUCCACUCACACCGCAGCCCCAUCCGCUCUGCUUCCGGCCCAGCGGCCCCUUCAGCCCGCAGGUGCACGCAGCGGGGCUGGGCAGGUGCACUUCAGCUGGGUCACACCUGGCCUGCAGCUGGAGGGUCAGCCUGGGGUAGAGCGCGUGUGUGCGUGCUUGUGUUUCUAUCUCUGCAUCUCGAAGCUAGACUGUGAGGUUCGUGAGACAGACUUGGCUUUUAUCAACAUUUUGGCCGUGUGUGUGCACGUUUGUGGGUAUGCAAACGUCCGCGUGUGCGGGAAGGCGUGUAUUUACGUGUGAACACGUGUAUGUGGUGAAUGUGCAGGUGUGCAUGUGCUGACCUCACACCCUUGUCAAAACCCAGAAGAGCAGGGCAGGCAACACGUCAGGUAUUUCUGCUUAACAGUUUUUUAAAAAUGUUUAUUUAUUUUUGAGACAGAGACAGAGCACGAGCACGGGCGGGGCAGAGAGAGAGGGAGACACAGAAUCCAAAUCAGGCUCCAGGCUCCGAGCUGUCCGCACAGAGCCGGGAUGCGGGGCUUGAACUCACGAACUUGAGGUCAUGACCUGAGCCCAAGUCAGAUGCUUAACCGACCGAGCCCCCCGGGCGCCCCGGGUAUUUCUGUUCUAAUCCAGGGUGAGGGAUGCAAGCCUAGCGCCCGCUCGUGGGCGGGCCAGUGGGAAUCUUCCCCCAUCGCACCUGCCUCGUCCGACUGUGGCUGCUCACGGCCCCACCGCCUCAGCCUCGGCCCUGAACAGAUUCCAGUUAGGGGACGGUUUUCUCUGUGUGCAGGAAUACUUCCCUGGGUAUUCCGCAGAGCCAGGUACCAGGCACUGAGCUUCUCUCAACCGGUGCCCCUGUGUUUGUCCCCGGGGCCGGUGGUCACCAAGGGUGGUGAGCCUCUAGAGGCGCCAUGGAGUGAGUGUGUCCGGCAGGGCCCGUGGUCGGCAAGGAAGGGAGAAGUGGUCUGACCGGACACCACGGUCGAGGCCUCUCCCGGCACACGGCGCCGAGCACGGCCUCGGAGGGAAGAUGCCACCACGAGGAGACGGGGGGCGGCCCGUGGGCGGAGGAGAGCGAGCCUGCAUCCAGGUCCCGAGAAGGGAACGGACGGACCCGGGCAACAGGGGGAGGUGGUUUGGAGAAGGUAGGGUACCGAGCCAAGCAGGGGAGGGGCCGCGGUGCAGAAUGUGGGGUGCGGGUCGUGUCUCGAGAGCCACGAGGAAGCCGUGACGGUGUUGAGCCCAGCAGUGACACCGGUGGACGUGCAUUCAGAGGGUGGCGGGGUGGUGGGGGGAGGGCAGCGGGAAGGGCGCCCGGUGGCGAGACUUCUUCCCAGCUUCCUCUCGCCUCCUCUCUCCUCUUGUUACGGCCCCCGCACUGCUUGUGUGCAAAACACGAGAACCCUUCCGGUCCAGCAAGCCAAUCGGUGUCGAACACACAGCCGGGACAGGCAGGAUUCGUGUUGGCUCCGGCUUUGACGAGCUGCUGUUCUUGCUCUCCGAGCCACGGCUGCCUUUUACGUCCGUUCUAGAAGCCUGCUGCCGUCAUGUCCCCAAGUCUUCGAGACGGUCGUAAGCAAGUAAGUAAAGGCCUGUUGAGAUGAUGCUGAAAAUACAUCACGAGCUAAGCACCGACUCCACUGGCACGGGUGGUCGUGUUGGAGCGCGCCCUUGACCGUCACAGCGGUAAGCGGAUGGCCUCGUGAUUUCAUUAGACGACUUCCAGGGGAGAAACAGUUGUUAGUGGACUCACGUGCUGGAGGAGUUUCCAAACUUCUGUACGUUGGGAUGCCUUCCUGUUCUUCCUGCGCUUCCUUCUUUCCUUGACCCCAACGGCUAAAUCACAAGUCAGGGUGGGUUUGAGGAGAGUGAACAGGGGUGGUGGUCCAGCGGCACCACACGGCCUGGACCUGGGUUCCGUUUUCCGGGCUCUGACUUUAUCAUUCUCGCAUUGCCGCUGACCAUUUACCUGCUUGGCGUGGUCCCCUUCUUUGCGGUCUCCGCUUCCUUUCUCGAACCGUGACUCGGGAUUUUGUUGGCUACAAGUAACAGAAACCCCACCCCAGACUGGCUCUAGCAGACAAAAAGCACGAGUUUGAAAACUGCAGUGCUAGGAGUAGCUUCAGGUGUGGCUGGAUCCAGGGGCUCUGGCGUGGUCGGGGUUCCCUGUCUCCAUGCGUCAGCUUCGCCUUCCCCUGUGUUGACUGCGUUCUCGGAUGGCUUCUCCCCUCACAAUGGCAGCCUGGAUACUUACGGCUCCAGGAUGGUGUCGUCUCAGCGCUGGGAGGGGAGAGAGAUCUGCUCCCUGGUGCUUCCAACCUGAGUUCCCAUGUUGAAGAUCAUUGGACCAUUUAGAUCAGGAGGAGAGCACGUGCUGAUUGGCCAGGCCUGGGUCUCCCCAGGUGUGGAAGCGGCUCUCCUUGGUUGCUGGGGCGGGUUGAGUGGGGGGUCCGGGAGGAGCGCGUGGGUUUCUUUUCGGGAGUGGGGGGCAGCGACCAGCCCCUCUCUUUCUUCUCAUCUGUUCACAGGUGCUGGCCCGUCCUCCUCCCUCCCUUGCUCCUCUCUAACACCCUCUGUCUCUCUGCUCCCCAGCCCCAGCCCAGCUACAAGCCGUGGCCUGGUGACUAUUAGGAUGGAUUUCCAGAUGAGAAAAUCGGGGCGGGAGGGAAGCGCCCUGUUUUUCCGUGACACAAACUCUGGAAAGCAAAGCCUUGAGGUCCCAUUUGGCUUUCAAAAGCCCGCGAGACUCUGGAUGAACGUUUAGCUGCCUCCGCCCUCCACAGCUGCAGCCCCCCGUGCUGGGCCAGGACUGGCUAGACAGAAGGGCUCCUGCGGGGGCGGGGGGGGGGGCUUGCUCCUCCUCCCCCCCAUCACCUCUCUCCUCCUUCCCCUCUCCUUCCCCCUUCACGCCUCACCCACUGCUCACCACCAGUCCGUCAGAGCUGGGCUCACAUCCUUUCUCCCUGGGACACCUGUUGUGCCACUCUGGACUGACUUGUUCCCAUCUGUGGUGGAUACAUCCUACAGUGGCCCCCGUAAUUCCUGCUCUUAGCACCCAUAGUUUUGCAUUACCCUCUGCUCUUGGAUGGGGGUGGGACCGGUGGCCUGCUUCCGACCAACAGAAGAUGGCAAAGGUGAAGAGAUUUUGCAGAUGCAGUUAAGGUCCCUAAUCGGUUGACUUUGCAUUGAUCAAAAGGAAGACUAUGCUGGUGGGCCUGACCUAAUCAGGCGAGUCCUUUAUAUGGGGCUCUGGGCCUUCCCUGAAAUCAAACAGCAGAGACUCACGGCUUUGGAGAAGCAAGCUACCAUGACUUCUAGAGCCUCAAAGAAAUGAGUGCUGCCAUAAACCUGAAGAAGUUUGGCAGGGGAUCCUUCCCGAGUCGGGCCUCCAGAUGAGAACACAGCCUGAGCUUCACCUUGACCGAACCUGUGAGAUCCUGAGCUGGGCACGAGCUAGGCCAUACGUAGCCUCCUGGCCCACAGAGAUUUCACCCGUUGUCCCCGUAACGUCCUUCACGGCAGAACAAAACCCCGUAUCACACCUUACACGCAGUUGUCAUGCCUCCUGAGCCUCUGUUAAUCGCACGCACUGCCCGAGACUUCCUUUGCCUUCCGCGACACUUGUCUGUUGAAGAGGCCAGGCCAGCCGCUUUGCAGCGGGGCCCCUUGGAUGGAGCUGCCUGGUGUGAUUCGGUCGGGAGCUCGCAGCAGGACCGCAUGGAGGUGAUGCUGGACGCUUCUUGCCGCGUCGUAUCUGGGGCCGCGUGCUGUGGUCUGGUCCCAUUUCUGGCAGCGUUAGCUUUGGCCCAGUGUGAGGCCGGGUCUGCCAGGGGGCCCCGCUAUGAACGUGCUGUUGUAGCGGUAGGCUUUCCACCUCGAGAGUGGGAAUGGGUGUGGGGGUGGCCAGCGCGUGAGAUGACCACGGUCUUGCACGUCUGACUUUGUGAACUGCCCCCCCCACCCCCCGCAGUCAUUGCGGAUCUUGAGUUGACGGGAGGAAGGAGGUCCUCAGGAGACGCAGAGUUACGUUCUCUCCUCUUAGCUAUGCUUCUGAAGACCUACUGUGUGGCAGUCUCCUGGGCAAGACCCCAUGGGAGCGAGGGAGCUAAUAUUUCUUGCACACCUACUACGGGCCACACUUUGGGUGAGGCGCUCACAUCCACUCUCUCGUUGAAAUUAGCAUCUCAGCUCUAAGGGCUGGUACUGAGUAGUGAUGGGGGGGGGCUUGAUUCAUUUCGAGAACCAGAGAAACCAUUCACAGCUUCCCCGAUUUCUCAAUCUGCCUCACCUCACUUGAGUACAGUUUUUUUUUUUUUUUUUAAAAAGCAUCUGAACUAUUUUCCAUAUCAAGUGCUUCAAGGACCUAAUUAUGAACUUCAUUAUAAUUGUUCAUUAGUUAUAUUUUGUUCAAUUACUUUAACAAGUUGCCAAAUGGAACACAAAGCCGGCAAUUAGCAUUAUAUAAUUGUAACGAGGCACUCAAAUUGGGUUAUAGAGCGUUGUUUUUGCCUGUGUGUUUUCUCCCCAGGGGAAGACAGACUGACGGAAGGUGAUGGCUGGCCGUCUGUCCGCUCAUCAGCUUCGUCCAAGCUGUCAGGGGUGGGAGCGGCCUUUUCUUUUGUACAAAGGUCAAGUUUGGGAAAACGGCGAUGUAUAGGGACGGUGCUCAAAAUGUUCCAGAGAACGUUCUAUUAUAUUAUGUUAUCGAUGAUGAUUAUAUCAUCGAUGACGAGCUUUA